rnacentral:rRNA from 1 species
CCUACGGGAGGCUGCAGUGGGGAAUAUUGGACAAUGGGCGAAAGCCUGAUCCAGCCAUGCCGCGUGUGUGAAGAAGGCCUUCGGGUUGUAAAGCACUUUCAGUGGGGAAGAAAGCCUUGGGGCUAAUACCCUCGAGGAAGGACAUCACCCACAGAAGAAGCACCGGCUAACUCCGUGCCAGCAGCCGCGGUAAUACGGAGGGUGCGAGCGUUAAUCGGAAUUACUGGGCGUAAAGCGCGCGUAGGCGGUCUGAUAAGCCGGUUGUGAAAGCCCCGGGCUCAACCUGGGAACGGCAUCCGGAACUGUCAGGCUAGAGUGCAGGAGAGGAAGGUAGAAUUCCCGGUGGAGCGGUGAAAUGCGUAGAGAUCGGGAGGAAUAACAGUGGCGAAGGCGGCCUUCUGGACUGACACUGACGCUGAGGUGCGAAAGCGUGGGUAGCAAACAGGAUUAGAUACCCGAGUAGUC